rnacentral:rRNA from 1 species
UGGGGAAUAUUGGACAAUGGGCGAAAGCCUGAUCCAGCCAUGCCGCGUGUGUGAAGAAGGUCUUCGGAUUGUAAAGCACUUUAAGUUGGGAGGAAGGGCAGUAAGCGAAUACCUUGCUGUUUUGACGUUACCGACAGAAUAAGCACCGGCUAACUCUGUGCCAGCAGCCGCGGUAAUACAGAGGGUGCAAGCGUUAAUCGGAAUUACUGGGCGUAAAGCGCGCGUAGGUGGUUCGUUAAGUGGAAUGUGAAAGCCCCGGGCUCAACCUGGGAACUGCAUCCAAAACAGGCGAGCUAGAGUAGGGCAGAGGGUGGUGGAAUUUCCUGGGUAGCGGUGAAAUGCGUAGAUAUAGGAAGGAACACCAGUGGCGAAGGCGACCACCUGGGCUCAUACUGACACUGAGGUGCGAAAGCGUGGGGAGCAAACAGG